AUUGAACGCUGGCGGCAUGCCUUACACAUGCAAGUCGAACGGCAGCAUGGAGAGCUCGCUCUCUGAUGGCGAGUGGCGAACGGGUGAGUAAAGCAUCGGAACGUACCGUGUAGUGGGGGAUAACGUAGCGAAAGUUACGCUAAUACCGCAUACGCACUGAGGUGGAAAGCAGGGGAUCGUAAGACCUUGCGCUAUACGAGCGGCCGAUGUCAGAUUAGCUAGUUGGUAGGGUAAAGGCCUACCAAGGCGACGAUCUGUAGCGGGUCUGAGAGGAUGGUCCGCCACACUGGGACUGAGACACGGCCCAGACUCCUACGGGAGGCAGCAGUGGGGAAUUUUGGACAAUGGGGGCAACCCUGAUCCAGCCAUGCCGCGUGAGUGAAGAAGGCCUUCGGGUUGUAAAGCUCUUUCGGCCGGGAAGAAAUCGCACAGGCUAAUACCCUGUGUGGAUGACGGUACCGGCAUAAGAAGCACCGGCUAACUACGUGCCAGCCGCCGCAGUAA
rnacentral:rRNA from 1 species